rnacentral:tRNA from 1 species
GCCACUUUUGCUUAGUGGUAGAGCGUCUGCUUCGUGAGCAGAAGAUCGUCAGAUCAAUCCUGGCAAGCGGCU